rnacentral:hammerhead_ribozyme from 1 species
AUCCAUCUGACGCGUCCCAAAUAGGACGAAACGCGCGUCAAACUGGAU